AGCUGUGUGUAUGUGUCAAGUGCACACAGUGCACAGGAAAGAAUGAUUGUGAAUAUUUUUAUUUGGAACUCAGCAUUUGAGUGUAGCUGAAAAUUCGAUUUUCUGCUAAUCUUUUCCAAGAUCUAUCCCAAAGCGGAGUGUUCAAUGAAAAAAACAGCGUAGAGCUAUUGAACAUGGACAAGAUGUACUUCUUAUCCGAAAGCACUUCAGACAGUAUCCCUGAACAACUGGCACUCAUAGUGUCUCGUUUGCCAAAUGGAGCAAACGUGGAGGAUCUGUUUCUUGGACUCGUGUUCACCCUUGCUCUGGAGACCGGAUUUCAAGUGCCUGAAAAUGAGGAUUCUGUUGAUUGGUUUCUAAAACAGCUCUCAAGAAAGGCUUUCCACCGUUGGGUCUUUGCUCAACAAUUAAACAUUACCAUUGAAUUUUUCCAAUCUCAGAAUAAUCUCAUUGCAAUUGUGACUGGCUUGGUCGAGACUUAUAGUCAAAGCUGCUGUUUCGAGGUGGCAGAAUUCGUGCCUCGACCAGAGGAAAAAUGUGCUGCCUUGAAAUUCUCUAACCUUCGAAGGCUGUCCAUGAAGCUGCGUUCUCGGUUGUGGCUGUGUCGCAUUGAAGCAAUGUGUGACGCCCCCUACCCAGAUAAAACAGCCUUUGAAAAUCUACCUGAUCUCGUACUGAGAAAAAUUGCAUCUUAUUUGCCACAAAAAGAGGUUAAAGACUGUUCUGCUAAAAAAUAAUUGAAAUACAAAUUAUUUUGUUUACAAAAA